rnacentral:rRNA from 1 species
UAAAUGACUCUCGGCAACGGAUAUCUCGGCUCACGCAUCGAUGAAGAACGUAGCAAAAUGCGAUACUUGGUGUGAAUUGCGGAAUCCCGUGAACCAUCGAGUUUUUGAACGCAAGUUGCGCCCGAAGCCUUUUGGUUGAGGGCACGUCUGCCUGGGCGUCACGC